rnacentral:rRNA from 1 species
GUCCACGCCCUAAACGAUGUAAACUCGACAUUAGCGAUAUACAGUUAGUGUCCAAGCGAAAGCGUUAAGUUUACCACCUGGGAAGUACGACCGCAAGGUUGAAACUCAAAGGAAUUGGCGGGGUCCGCACAAGCGGUGGAGCAUGUGGUUUAAUUCGAUGAUACGCGAGGAACCUUACCUAGGCUAGAAUGUAGUUUGACCGAUCCUGAAAGGGGUCUUUGUAGCAAUACACAGAUUACAAGGUGCUGCAUGGUUGUCGU